rnacentral:lncRNA from 1 species
AGCUCGGCCUCCCAGAGUGCUGGGAUUACAGGUGUGAGCCACUGUGCCUGGUCUGCAUGCAAUUUUGAAGGAAGAUCUCUAUGGCUUACUUUGGAAAAUGGUUUGUUGGAAGCUGGUCUAGAUAAAGGGACCCCUGUUGAGCAAGCAAUUCCAAGAUCCAGCCUCAAAACAAUGGGAACUGGAGUAGGGUCUGGUAGUCGUGAUGAAGAAAUGGGGAGAGAUUUGAGAGCUGUUCUGGAGCCAGAAUUAGCAGAACUUGGCCAAAAUUGGGUGCAGCAAGUGAGAAAGAGAGCACUCAAGGAGGAUGUUGUUUCUGGCUUGGAUGAUAGAUGGUGCCAGUUCCUUGCAAUGGAGGAGAAUAGAAGAGUCCUAUUUAGGGGAAAAAUGGAGAGUCUGUUUUGGAUGCUCUGGGUCUGAGGUGCUCCAAUCUCAGCUGUUCUGUGUGUGCAAAUGUGUGUGAGUGUAUAGGUACUUGCACAAGUGUCUAACACAUUCCAGGCCCUUACAUCUGAUAACAGUGUGUUCUCAAUGAUGAACUGGACAAUCUAUUGAUAGUUCCACCCCUUGAAGGCUCUAGCAACCCUUGUCCAGGGCCUGGAAGGGUUAAUUGAGGUGGAGAAGGGAGGAU